UGGACUUGGACUCUGCUGUGUUAUCCAUGGCUGGUCUAAAAUGCAUGAGUGUACCCUGCUGUUGCAGCGUCUUCAGUGUGAUAAGCAUCCUCACUGGACAAAGUUCCCUUUAGGACACGCAUGCAAGUGGGCUCUGCGCUUCUAACAGUCCCGCUUUUGGGACAGCUUUGACAACUUGACCUCAGAUCGGGUGGGACUACCCGCUGAACUUAAGCAUAUCAAUAAGCGGAGGAAAAGAAACUAACAAGGAUUCCCCUAGUAACGGCGAGUGAAGAGGGAAAAGCUCAAAUUUUGAAUCUGGUGUCUUUGGCGCCCGAGUUGUAAUCUAGAGAAGUGUUUUCUGCCUCGGACCACACAUAAAUUCCCUGGAAUGGGGUUUCAUAGAGGGUGAGAAUCCCGUUUGUGGUGUGGACUACCUUGGCUCUGUGAUACACUCUCAACGAGUCGAGUUGUUUGGGAAUGCAGCUCAAAAUGGGUGGUAAAUUCCAUCUAAAGCUAAAUAUUGGCGAGAGACCGAUAGCGAACAAGUACCGUGAGGGAAAGAUGAAAAGCACUUUGGAAAGAGAGUGAAACAGUACGUGAAAUUGUUGAAAGGGAAGCGUUUGAAGUCAGUCACAUCUGUCGGGACUCAGCCUGGCUUUGCCUGGUGUACUUCCUGGUGGAUGGGUCAGUGUCAGUUUUGACCGGGAGAAAAAGGCUUGGGGAAUGUGGCUGUCUUCGGGCAGUGUUAUAGCCCCUUGUCAUAUGUCUCGGUUGGGACUGAGGUUUGCAGCACGCCUUAUGGCCGGGGUUCGCCCUCGGUACGUGCUUACGACGCUGGCAUAAUG
rnacentral:rRNA from 1 species